rnacentral:rRNA from 1 species
UCUGCAACUCGACUCCAUGAAGCUGGAUUCGCUAGUAAUCGCGCAUCAGCCAUGGCGCGGUGAAUACGUUCCCGGGCCUUGUACACACCGCCCGUCACACCAUGGGAGUUGGUAAUGCCCGAAGUCAGUGACCCAACCGCAAGGAGGGAGCUGCCGAAGGCAGGACUGAUAACUGGGGUGAAGUCGUAACAAGGUACC